rnacentral:rRNA from 1 species
CCUACGGGUGGCAGCAGUGGGGAAUUUUUCACAAUGGGGGAAACCCUGAUGCAGCGACGCCGCGUGAGUGAAUAAGUAUCUCGUUAUGUAAAGCUCUAUCAGUAGGGAAGAAAAUGACGGUACCUGUGUCAGAAGCCGCGGCUAACUACGUGUCAGCAGCCGCGGUAAUACGUAGGGGGCAAGCGUUAUCCGGAUUUACUGGGUGUAAAGGGAGCGUAGAAGGCAGUGCAAGUCUGGAGUGAAAGGCGGGGGCGCAACCCACGGACUGAUCUGGAGACUGUACGGCUGGAGUGAAGGAGAGGUAAGUGGAAUUCCUAGUGUAGCGGUGAAAUGCGUAGAUAUCAGGAGGAACACGAGUGGCGAAGGCGGUCUGCUGGACAGCAACUGACGGUGAGGCACGAAAGCGUGGGGAGCAAAAAGGAUUAGAUACCCUUGUAGUC